AAAUCACAUGCAUAAAUGGCUGACUUGGUUGUUUACAGCUUUCAGCAUCAAUCUGAACAUACACUGAACUUUAAAAGGUUCCUUCAAGUGAAUCCAAGAAAAGUGCUCUUCCCGAUUCUGAAAAUGUUUGGUGACUUUGAUAUUACAGUUUGAUCUCUUCAGUAUUCAGUAAGAAUACCUGAUGUACUAGCUUCAGGGCAACUUCUUCAUUAUCCUUCACAUACUUUUCC